CUCCAACCUCCGGGUUAGGGAUAGCAGUGGAAAUCCUUUUUUUUGCUGAAUAAUGAAACGGUAUUGCGAUUAAAAUUUCGGAUUUAAAUAUAUUGAAAUGGAUACCCUAAAGCCUUGAAAAAAAGAUUGUAACGGAUAGCCCGACCCUUG
rnacentral:sRNA from 1 species